UUGGAGGGCAAGUCUGGUGCCAGCAGCCGCGGUAAUUCCAGCUCCAAUAGCGUAUAUUAAAGUUGUUGCAGUUAAAAAGCUCGUAGUUGAAUUUCGGGAUCAGUACGCUCGGUCGUGCCUCCGGUAUGUACUGGCGUCACUGAUUCCUCCCUUCUGAUGAACCGUAAUGUCAUUAAUUUGGUGUUGCGGGGAAACAGGACUGUUACUUUGAAAAAAUUAGAGUG
rnacentral:rRNA from 1 species